CAAGAUUCAGCUUUAACACCGAGUCAAGUGAGCAGCAACGGAGUCAAAUAACAAUGACUGGCCAGUGCUAAUAUUAUUCUGAAAUAUCUGGGUCGUGGUGGGUUCGAGUCAAUGGCCAAAAGGUGUAUUUAGGUUGUGGAUCAAGGUCUAAAACCCAAGACCUUUUGUUUUGAACACACUGAAAUGACAAUCUGUACAGCACACAAAGAGGACACGAUGCUCGGACAUGAUGCUCGGUACACUUAAUCAUUAGUUCCCAGCAUUUCCACAUACUGGACCUGCAGACAGUACAGUGCUUAUUCAGGAAAUAUUUACUUUUUUCUAUUCAGGGUUGUGGUGGGUUCGAGUCAAUGGCCAAAACGUAGGAAACACCGUGGACAGGUUGCCAGUCCAUCACAGCCAAAAUACCAAUGAUUCCUUAAUAUUAAUGGGUUUUUGCUGCCUGAUAAACUGGUUGUUGUUUCCCAUUGUGACAAAAAGGGCUUUGAAACAUGUUUUACCAAAUUAUUUCUUAUGACUAUGAUUGUCUUUCAUGAGGUUUGCAUCCUUGAUGUCACUGAUAAUGAUACUAAAUGUGAAAAGCUUAAAAUUCUGUUUUAAAAUAAAAAAAACCCUGUGUCGUACCUUACCACAUAAUAAAGACUCCAGUAGUGUGA